GACCACUGAGGCACAUCCCCAGCCCUAUUCUGUAUUUUAUUUAGAGACAGGGUCUCACUGAGUUGCUCAGGGCCUCACUAAGUUGCUGAGGCUGGCUUUGAACUUGCGAUCUUCCUGCCUCAGCCUUAAAAACCACUGGGAUUAUAGGCUUUGCACCACCUCACCCAACUUUCUAUUUUUAAAAAUUAUUACAGAGACAAUAAGUGUUCUCUACAGUAAAGUUAGAAAUUCCAUAAAAAUUAAGAAGCAAGUGAAGAACCCGUUCCUUCCACUCAGAAAUCAGGGCCCUUUGCCCUUGCUGUCCACCCUUCCAGGCCCCUCCUCCAUCGGGGUGGGGAUGGGUAGAGGGCCUAUGAGAUGUCCUGACGGAGUCCCUUCAGGUGGACCUUGGCCAGGCAAUCCCUGCUUUUCUGCUUCACAUGUUGGGUUGCUGCACACUGUGAUUUACUAAGCAUCAUCAUGGACUAAUUCAUCUGCUGCUGUUGAACCUACAAUUUUUUAUUGCUGCAAUUAUUCUAAAGAAAACUCCUGUACAGUGUCAGGACUCUGAUGGAGUGACAGACGCUUGGCUUACAUUUUCUGGGUCAAAAUAUACAUAGCAUUUUUGAGGUGCAGGCCACUUUUCAAUAUCAAAGGUGAGCCUCACUGGGGAAGGCAAGGACCCACAGAGACACUGAGGUUGAAGCCCCAUGGAGAACAGGCAGAUGAACUGGCAGCAGACCCCCUAGUGGCACCUUGCACAGUACCACAGAGCUGGACAAAAGCCCUGCACCAGGCCC
rnacentral:lncRNA from 1 species